rfam:Camelus ferus unplaced genomic scaffold scaffold903, whole genome shotgun sequence.
GAGGGUAUAGCUCAGUGGUAGAGCGCGUGCUUGGUAUGCACAAGGCCCUGGGUUCAAUCCCUGGUACUUCCA